rnacentral:rRNA from 1 species
GGUAUUUAACCAGAAAGCCACGGCUAACUACGUGCCAGCAGCCGCGGUAAUACGUAGGUGGCAAGCGUUGUCCGGAUUUAUUGGGCGUAAAGCGAGCGCAGGCGGUUCUUUAAGUCUGAUGUGAAAGCCCCAGGCUCAACCGGGUAGGGUCAUUGGAAACUGGAGAACUUGAGUGCAGAAGAGGAGAGUGGAAUUCCACGUGUAGCGGUGAAAUGCGUAGAUAUGUGGAGGAACACCAGUGGCGAAGGCGACUCUCUGGUCUGUAACUGACGCUGAGGCUCGAAAGCGUGGGGAGCAAACAGGAUUAGAUACCCUGGUAGUCCACGCCGUAAACGAUGAGUGCUAAGUGUUGGAGGGUUUCCGCCCUUCAGUGCUGCAGCUAACGCAUUAAGCACUCCGCCUGGGGAGUACGGCCGCAAGGCUGAAACUCAAAGGAAUUGACGGGGACCGGCACAAGCGGUGGAGCAUGUGGUUUAAUUCGAAGAAACGCGAAGAACCUUACCAGGUCUUGACAUCCUUUGACCACUCUAGAGAUAGAGCUUUCCCUUCGGGGUCAAAGUGACAGGUGGAACAUGGUUGUCGUCAGCUCGUGUCGUGAGAUGUUGGGUUAAGUCCCGCAACGAGCGCAACCCUUAUUACUAGUUGCCAGCAUUUAGUUGGGCACUCUAGUGAGACUGCCGGUGACAAACCGGAGGAAGGUGGGGAUGACGUCAAAUCAUCAUGCCCCUUAUGACCUGGGCUACACACGUGCUACAAUGGAUGGUACAACGAGUCGCAAGGUCGCGAGGCCAAGCUAAUCUCUUAAAGCCAUUCUCAGUUCGGAUUGUAGGCUGCAACUCGCCUACAUGAAGCCGGAAUCGCUAGUAAUCGCGGAUCAGAACGCCGCGGUGAAUACGUUCCCGGGU